rnacentral:rRNA from 1 species
CAGUCGUACCGGCGGGUAAUCAACCUUUUGGGUGUGAUUAUGUGGAGCGUGAGGAGUUAAUCACCCUCAUCUUUGCAUAUUCGUGCACUUUGGGUGUACUUGCUCGUGUGGUAGGUUAACAUCAAUUUUGAUCGUCAUAAAUGGAUGGGGGGAAAUGUAGCUUCGAUCUCGUAUUGAAGUGUUAUAGCCUUCGGUAGAUGUGAUGAUUGGGAUUGAGGAUUGCAACGGAUACCCUUCGGGGCUACCUGUCUGAUCUCUGAAAGUUGCUCUGGUGCUGAAAGCUUGCUUAUGGUAUCAAAGUUGACGUUCAACAGGUUAGAACGGGAUAAA